CACUCCUACGGGAGGCAGCAGUGGGGAAUUUUGGACAAUGGGCGAAAGCCUGAUCCAGCAAUGCCGCGUGAGUGAAGAAGGCCUUCGGGUUGUAAAGCUCUUUUGUCAGGGAAGAAACGGUGAGAGCUAAUAUCUCUUGCUAAUGACGGUACCUGAAGAAUAAGCACCGGCUAACUACGUGCCAGCAGCCGCGGUAAUACGUAGGGUGCAAGCGUUAAUCGGAAUUACUGGGCGUAAAGCGUGCGCAGGCGGUUUUGUAAGUCUGAUGUGAAAUCCCCGGGCUCAACCUGGGAAUUGCAUUGGAGACUGCAAGGCUAGAAUCUGGCAGAGGGGGGUAGAAUUCCACGUGUAGCAGUGAAAUGCGUAGAUAUGUGGAGGAACACCGAUGGCGAAGGCAGCCCCCUGGGUCAAGAUUGACGCUCAUGCACGAAAGCGUGGGGAGCAAACAGGAUUAGAAACCCCUGUAGUCC
rnacentral:rRNA from 1 species